rnacentral:rRNA from 1 species
GUAAGGAAUAUUGGACAAUGGACGCAAGUCUGAUCCAGCCAUGCCGCGUGAAGGAUUAAGGUCCUCUGGAUUGUAAACUUCUUUUAUAAGGGACGAAAAAAGGCUUUUCUAAGUCGUCUGACGGUACCUUAUGAAUAAGCACCGGCUAACUCCGUGCCAGCAGCCGCGGUAAUACGGAGGGUGCAAGCGUUAUCCGGAUUCACUGGGUUUAAAGGGUGCGUAGGCGGGCAGGUAAGUCAGUGGUGAAAUCCUAGAGCUUAACUCUAGAACUGCCAUUGAUACUAUCGGUCUUGAAUAUUGUGGAGGUAAGCGGAAUAUGUCAUGUAGCGGUGAAAUGCUUAGAUAUGACAUAGAACACCUAUUGCGAAGGCAGCUUACUACGCAUAUAUUGACGCUGAGGCACGAAAGCGUGGGGAUCAAACAGGAUUAGAUACCCGUGUAGUCC